UGGUGGAUGAGCAAUGGCAUCUCAGUGUGGUUUUCACUUAAACUUCCCUGAUGAUUAAUAAUGUUGAGCAUUUUUGAUGGGCUUAUUGAACAUUUCUGAAUUCACUUUUGGAAAGGGAUUAUUGUUCAAAUGUUUUGUCCAGUUUUUUUAAUUGAAUGGUUUGCCUUAUUGUUAUUCUAUCAUUAUUAUUGUUAGGUUUUGAAGGGAGGGAGAGAGAGAGAGAGUUGGUGGCUCUACAGCAACACAGGUUUAUUGCCAGUACGACUUGCAGAGAGGGGACCAGCUUAGUGCCAGAGCUCACUGCCGCUUACAGGCUGGGGUAAUUACAGGCCUGGGCAGGAGGGGUCUGGGCCAUAUGGCUUGCUGCCCGGGAGGAUGUUGAUAAAGAUGUUCCUUGGGCCUUUGCCCAGCAGGAUGUGAUAAGGAAGUCAUGUGGCUGGGCAGGAUGUUUCUCACAGCCCAGGGCCCCAUGGAAUGUUUCACUCUGACCAGGGUCUGUAAAAUGGCAGGGGCUUGCAAAAUAGCGCAACUUGGACUAACAAUUAUUAUUAAUCCUAAAGGGAGAAGGAGAUUCAGCAAGAAUGGUGAAAGGAGAAUUAUAAUUUGGGCAUCUCAUUUCAUGAUCAGUAUCUCAUGGUGGGGUAAGAACAGGGGCAGUCAGGAUUGGAGGGUCUGGCAGACAGGUCAGCUGAAUCCGUGUCUACUAAUGAGGCAGGAGCCAGGAUCCACAUGAUGAAAGUGGCCACAGUCAGGAAGUCUGAAAUUUUCUCAGCAGAAAGGAAGAAAGAACAGACGGGUUGAGUGGCCCUGCUGUCUGAAGGGGCCUCAGUUUUAUCCUCCAACACCUUGGGGCUCCACUGGUGCUCACCUUUCUUCUCCAAGCCUAGGUCUUCAGCAGUGACUACACAGGGAAGUGAGGCUGAAGAUCUGGGUGAAUGGCCUCCAUCAACAUGUUCCUUCGUCCACCUCUCCAGAAGCAGAGCGCAGAUAAGACUGGACAGGACAGCCCUGCUGAGCCCACAGCAGACCUCCAAAGAGAAAGGAGUCAUUUGCAGCCUGGAGGAGGACUCUACCAUUCCAAGAUAUUCAGCCGACCACCCAAGCAGUGGCUCCUGAGACCUCCACACUCGACAGAGUCCCGCACACAUUCAAGGCCACCACCUCCUUCAUGCUCCUCUCUGAUCACCUCUCCAAGUCCUGGUGUCAGGAGCCUUCUCUGUGGCCGCCCUGGAGAGACUUGA
rnacentral:lncRNA from 1 species